CUGGGAUAGCUCAGUUGGUAGAGCAGAGGACU
rnacentral:tRNA from 1 species